GGCUUAGAGUUUGAUCAUGGCUCAGGAUGAACGCUGGCGGCGUGCUUAACACAUGCAAGUCGAACGGAGUGCUCAUGACGGAGUUUUCGGACAACGGAUUGAGUUACUUAGUGGCGGACGGGUGAGUAACGCGUGAGUAACCUGCCUUGGAGUGGGGAAUAACAGCUGGAAACAGCUGCUAAUACCGCAUGAUGCAGUUGGGUCGCAUGGCUCUGACUGCCAAAGAUUUAUCGCUCUGAGAUGGACUCGCGUCUGAUUAGCUAGUUGGCGGGGUAACGGCCCACCAAGGCGACGAUCAGUAGCCGGACUGAGAGGUUGGCCGGCCACAUUGGGACUGAGACACGGCCCAGACUCCUACGGGAGGCAGCAGUGGGGAAUAUUGGGCAAUGGGCGCAAGCCUGACCCAGCAACGCCGCGUGAAGGAAGAAGGCUCUCGGGUUGUAAACUUCUUUUAAGAGGGACGAAACAAAUGACGGUACCUCUUGAAUAAGCCACGGCUAACUACGUGCCAGCAGCCGCGGUAAUACGUAGGUGGCAAGCGUUAUCCGGAUUUACUGGGUGUAAAGGGCGUGUAGGCGGGAUUGCAAGUCAGAUGUGAAAACCACGGGCUCAACCUGUGGCCUGCAUUUGAAACUGUAGUUCUUGAGUGAUGGAGAGGCAGAUGGAAUUAAGCC
rnacentral:rRNA from 1 species